rnacentral:rRNA from 1 species
GACGAACCGUGCGAACGUUGUUCGGAAUCACUGGGCUUAAAGGGCGCGUAGGCGGUUUGCCAAGUCAGGGGUGAAAUCCUGCAGCUCAACUGUAGAAGUGCCUUUGAUACUGGCGAACUCGAGGGAGGUAGGGGUGGGUGGAACUUCUGGUGGAGCGGUGAAAUGCGUUGAUAUCAGAAGGAACGCCGGUGGCGAAAGCGACCCACUGGAUCUCUACUGACGCUGAGGCGCGAAAGCUAGGGGAGCAAACGGGGAU